GUUGAACGCUGGCGGCGUGCCUAACACAUGCAAGUCGAGCGGAUGAAGGGAGCUUGCUCCUGGAUUCAGCGGCGGACGGGUGAGUAAUGCCUAGGAGUCUGCCUGGUAGUGGGGGAUAACAUACGGAAACGAGCGCUAAUACCGCAUACGUCCUGAGAGAGAAAGUGAGGGAUCUUCGGACCUCGCGCUAUCAGAUGAGCCUAGGUCGGAUUAGCUAGUUGGUUGGGUAAGGGCCUACCAAGGCGACGAUCCGUAACUGGUCUGAGAGGCUGAUCAGCCACACUGGAACUGAGACACGGUCCAGACUCCUACGGGAGGCAGCAGUGGGGAAUAUUGGGCAAUGGGCGAAAGCCUGACGGAGCCACGCCGCGUGAGUGAUGAAGGUCUUCGGAUCGUAAAGCUCUGUUAUUAGGGAAGAACAAAUGUGUAAGUAAAUAUGGCCGUCUUGACGGUACCUAAUGAGAAAGCCACGGCUAACUACGUG
rnacentral:rRNA from 1 species